ACGCACGCUGGCGGCGUGCUUAACACAUGCAAGUCGCACGAUGAACCCGGAGCUUGCUCUGGGGGAUUAGUGGCGAACGGGUGAGUAACACGUGAGUAACCUGCCCUGGACUCUGGGAUAAGCGUUGGAAACGACGUCUAAUACCGGAUAGGACCUUGGAUCGCAUGAUCUGGGGUGGAAAGUUUUUUCGGUCUGGGAUGGACUCGCGGCCUAUCAGCUUGUUGGUGAGGUAAUGGCUCACCAAGGCGUCGACGGGUAGCCGGCCUGAGAGGGUGACCGGCCACACUGGGACUGAGACACGGCCCAGACUCCUACGGGAGGCAGCAGUGGGGAAUAUUGCACAAUGGGCGAAAGCCUGAUGCAGCAACGCCGCGUGCGGGAUGACGGCCUUCGGGUUGUAAACCGCUUUUAGUAGGGAAGAAGGGCUUCGGCUUGACGGUACCUGCAGAAAAAGGACCGGCUAACUACGU
rnacentral:rRNA from 1 species